UACAGAGGUCUCAAGCGUUGUUCGGAUUCAUUGGGCGUAAAGGGUGUGUAGGUGGCGCCGUAAGUCGGGUGUGAAAUUUCGGAGCUUAACUCCGAAACUGCAUUCGAUACUGCGGUGCUUGAGGACUGGAGAGGAGACUGGGAAUUCAUGGUGUAGCAGUGAAAUGCGUAGAGAUCAUGAGGAAGACCAGUGGCGAAGGCGGGUCUCUGGACAGUUCCUGACACUGAGACACGAAGGCCAGGGGAGCAAAACGGGG
rnacentral:rRNA from 1 species